rfam:Penicillium arizonense strain CBS 141311 PENARI_contig012, whole genome shotgun sequence.
CUUCCUCGACUUGCUGGGGACAGAUCAAGUGGAUGUGCGUGUCAAUACCACCAGCAGUAAUAAUCUUGUUCUCUCCAGCAAUGACAUCCGUCGAGGAACCAACAACCAGAUCCGGAUGCACGCCAUCCAUGACAUCGGGGUUUCCAGCCUUGCCAAUACCAGCAAUCAGCCCAUCCUUGAUACCAAUAUCGGCCUUGUAGAUACCAGUCCAAUCGAUAAUCAACGCAUUCGUAAUAACAGUAUCAACGCAUUCCGCAUGGCCCCGACCAGACGCCUGACCCAUACCCUCUCGCAG